GACGAACGCUGGCGGCGUGCCUAAUACAUGCAAGUUGAGCGCUGAAGGAUGGUACUUGUACCAACUGGAUGAGCAGCGAACGGGUGAGUAACGCGUGGGGAAUCUGCCUUUGAGCGGGGGACAACAUUUGGAAACGAAUGCUAAUACCGCAUAAAACCUUUAAACACAAGUUUUAAGUUUGAAAGAUGCCAUUGCCUCACUCAAAGAUGAUCCCGCGUUGUAUUAGCUAGUUGGUGAGGUAAAGGCUCACCAAGGCGAUGAUACAUAGCCGACCUGAGAGGGUGAUCGGCCAAAUUGGGACUGAGACACGGCCCAAACUCCUACGGGAGGCAGCAGUAGGGAAUCUUCGGCAAUGGACGAAAGUCUGACCGAGCAACGCCGGGGGAGUGAAGAAGGGUUUCGGAUCGGAAAACUCUGUUGGUAGAGAAGAAAGUUGGUGAGAGUGGAAAGCUCAUCAAGUGACGGUAACUACCCAGAAAGGGACGGCUAACUACGUG
rnacentral:rRNA from 1 species